UCAUGAAAAUGAAGUAAACCUCAGUAAUGGAACUUGAGUGAGGAGUUGCGUCGUGCCACGACGUUAAAUAAGCCGCUUAUUGGGAGGCAACCGAAGGUUUUACCGCUUUAUUUUUCCUUUAAGAAAUAAUGGUGUGUUGUUUGUGUAGGUCAAAGUAUGGAAAGUGAGUGAAAAGUGCAAAUGGGUGAGCCAAAGGUCGAGUCGGCGCAUCGCCGAAGAAGUCGGUGACCCUAACUUAAACCACCAUUAGACUAAAGUCAACUUCAAAGUGGAGUCUGUAAAACUCGGUGUGCCCAAGAACUUAUUUGCGAAUGGCCGACCUGGUCGGCGAUUGCGAUCUAGUCUGCUGUUUGGACCCCUUGUUUAACAAGAUGUCGAGUAAAACUCUGCGAGGUAAGUAUUCACUAGGCGAGUCGCUGAAUGAAUCGGCGACCACGACUAAUGUUGCCGAAUGGGGGAGAACUGGAUUUUUUUAUAACAGGACAAAGGUUUAAACUUCCAGCUCUUUAACUUUCCGUCGCUUUUAAUCUUCCAAAUCUCGCACCUAGUU
rnacentral:lncRNA from 1 species